rnacentral:lncRNA from 1 species
GCUGAAGUCUGGAGCCUAUUUCCAUGCCAUAGCUAGUGGGAAUCACAAUUUCUGGCCUUCUUGACCUCUGGAAAUGCUGUAGUGGGAUAUCAGCCAUGUCCCCCAAGGUUCUGCCUGGCUGAGGGCCUUGGGGCAGCCUGACAUUAAGUAUUACUCAUUGGACCUGCAAAGUACCAGAUGUUGUCCUGCUGACUCCUCACCCCUCUGGGGUGGAUAGAAGGGUGUAGAGGGACAUGCAGGAAAAUUGUGUGCCACAGACAUGGGAAAAGAAGAAAUUCUGGGUGGAACAACUCCAGGCAUGUGGUGGAAAGUUGCCAAGGAGACUGUGCAGAUGAGCCAUAACACAGCCUGAGAGUCUGUCCUCCCCAGCCGUGAUGACAGUCCUCUCAGCUAGUCAAGGCUUACUUCCUAAAGGAUUUCAAGAUGUUACUGCUGAACAAAUAAAGAACUUGGUGGGAAGAUGAACAACUUGAUCAAGCCAGACCUCUCCCAUGGGCAGAGCUUGUCCUGCUGCUGCUGCCAGACAUUUGCUCAGCAGAAAGCAGUACUCAGCCUCUGCCUUCAACAGCCCAGGCAGAACUGUGUGCCAUUGUUGAUAUUCUGCUCCUGGGAAAGCAGUCAGAAAUAGGAGAUGUCCUGCAGGAACAUGGAAGACAUCAUCUGUCUUGGAGCUUGGUGAAAAUCAGCCUUACAAGUGAAGGCAGUGGAGCAAGUGGAGACACACCUGCUUGUACUGUGGUUAAAGAUGCUCUAAUAUCUUUUAAGGAUGUUCCUCACUGA